rnacentral:SRP_RNA from 1 species
GGAGACUGGCGGCGGACGGGCUGCUCGCCAACCCGGUCAGGCCCGGAAGGGAGCAGCCGUAACGAGAUUUGCCCGGGUCGCUUGACCAGUCUCCCAC